CCUGCCGCACUUCGGUCUGGUGGCGAGUGGCGAACGGGUUAACUAUUGUAUCGGAACGUGCCUAGUAGCGGGGGAUAACUACGCGAAAGCGUAGCUAAUACCGCAUACGCCCUACGGGGGAAAGCAGGGGAUCGCAAGACCUUGCACUAUUAGAGCGGCCGAUAUCGGAUUAGCUAGUUGGGGGGGUAACGGCUCACCAAGGCGACGAUCCGUAGCUGGUUUGAGAGGACGACCAGCCACACUGGGACUGAGACACGGCCCAGACCCCUACGGGAGGCAGCAGUGGGGAAUUUUGGACAAUGGGGGAAACCCUGAUCCAGCCAUCCCGCGUGUGCGAUGAAGGCCUUCGGGUUGUAAAGCACUUUUGGCAGGAAAGAAACGUCAUGGGCUAAUACCCCGUGAAACUGACGGUACCUGCAGAAUAAGCACCGGCUAACUACGUGCCAGCAGCCGCGGUAAUACGUAGGGUGCAAGCGUUAAUCGGAAUUACUGGGCGUAAAGCGUGCGCAGGCGGUUCGGAAAGAAAGAUGUGAAAUCCCAGAGCUUAACUUUGGAACUGCAUUUUUAACUACCGAGCUAGAGUGUGUCAGAGGGAGGUGGAAUUCCGCGUGUAGCAGUGAAAUGCGUAGAUAUGCGGAGGAACACCGAUGGCGAAGGCAGCCUCCUGGGAUAACACUGACGCUCAUGCACGAAAGCGUGGGGAGC
rnacentral:rRNA from 1 species